CGGCGUGCUUAACACAUGCAAGUCGAACGAGGAUAGUGGAAGCUUGCUUUAGCUAUCGAGUGGCGGACGGGUGAGUAACGCGUGAGCAACCUGGUCUCAGUACAGGGGAAUAACGCAUCGAAAGAUGUGCUAAUACCGCAUAGGACCACGAAGCCGCAUGGCUUUGAGGUGAAAGGAGCAAUCCGGUAUGAGGUGGACUCGCGUCUGAUUAGAUAGUUGGUGAGGUAACGGCCCACCAAGUCAACGAUCAGUAGCCGACCUGAGAGGGUGAUCGGCCACAUUGGGACUGAGACACGGCCCAGACUCCUACGGGAGGCAGCAGUGGGGAAUAUUGGGCAAUGGGCGCAAGCCCUGACCCAGCAACGCCGCGUGAAGGAAGAAGGUUUUCGGAUCGUAAACUUCUGUCCUUGGUGAAGAGCGAAAGACGGUAGCCAAGGAGGAAGCCCCGGCUAACUACGUGCCAGCAGCCGC
rnacentral:rRNA from 1 species